UACAGGGGGUGCAAACGUUGCUCGGAAUUAUUGGGCGUAAAGAGCGUGUAGGCGGCCAGAUAAGUCCGCUGUGAAAUCUCGAGGCUCAACUUCGAGCUGUCGGUGGAAACUGUCUGGCUAGAGUCCGGAAGAGGAGAAUGGAAUUCCUGGUGUAGUGGUGAAAUGCGCAGAUAUCAGGAAGAACACCCGUGGCGAAGGCGGUUCUCUGGGACGGUACUGACGCUGAGACGCGAAAGCGUGGGGAGCGAACAGG
rnacentral:rRNA from 1 species